rnacentral:rRNA from 1 species
GGGGUGAAAUUUGAUCCUGGCUCAGGACGAACGCUGGCGGCGUGUUUAACACAUGCAAGUCGAACGAUGAAGCCCUUCGGGGUGGAUUAGUGGCGAACGGGUGAGUAACACGUGGGCAAUCUGCCCUUCACUCUGGGACAAGCCCUGGAAACGGGGUCUAAUACCGGAUACCACUCCUGCCUGCAUGGGCGGGAGUUGAAAGCUCCGGCGGUGAAGGAUGAGCCCGCGGCCUAUCAGCUUGUUGGUGGGGUAAUGGCCCACCAAGGCGACGACGGGUAGCCGGCCUGAGAGGGCGACCGGCCACACUGGGACUGAGACACGGCCCAGACUCCUACGGGAGGCAGCAGUGGGGAAUAUUGCACAAUGGGCGAAAGCCUGAUGCAGCGACGCCGCGUGAGGGAUGACGGCCUUCGGGUUGUAAACCUCUUUCAGCCGGGAAGAAGCCAAAGUGACCGUACCUG